rnacentral:rRNA from 1 species
AACGUACCCUGGAGUGGGGGAUAACGUAGCGAAAGUUACGCUAAUACCGCAUACGAUCUAAGGAUGAAAGUGGGGGAUUCGCAAGGACCUCAUGCUCCUGGAGCGGCCGAUAUCUGAUUAGCUAGUUGGUAGGGUAAAAGCCUACCAAGGCAUCGAUCAGUAGCUGGUCUGAGAGGACGACCAGCCACACUGGAACUGAGACACGGUCCAGACUCCUACGGGAGGCAGCAGUGGGGAAUUUUGGACAAUGGGCGCAAGCCUGAUCCAGCAAUGCCGCGUGAGUGAAGAAGGCCUUCGGGUUGUAAAGCUCUUUUGUCAGGGAAGAAACGGAUUUUUCUAAUACAGAGAUCUAAUGACGGUACCUGAAGAAUAAGCACCGGCUAACUACGUGCCAGCAGCCGCGGUAAUACGUAGGGUGCAAGCGUUAAUCGGAAUUACUGGGCGUAAAGCGUGCGCAGGCGGUUUUGUAAGACUGUCGUGAAAUCCCCGGGCUCAACCUGGGAAUGGCGAUGGUGACUGCAAGGCUAGAGUUUGGCAGAGGGGGGUAGAAUUCCACGUGUAGCAGUGAAAUGCGUAGAUAUGUGGAGGAACACCGAUGGCGAAGGCAGCCCCCUGGGUCAAAACUGACGCUCAUGCACGAAAGCGUGGGGAGCAAACAGGAUUAGAUACCCUGGUAGUCCACGCCCUAAACGAUGUCUACUAGUUGUCGGGUUUUAAUUAACUUGGUAACGCAGCUAACGCGUGAAGUAGACCGCCUGGGGAG